UACGGAGGGAGCUAGCGUUAUUCGGAAUUACUGGGCGUAAAGCGCACGUAGGCGGCUUUGUAAGUUAGAGGUGAAAGCCUGGAGCUCAACUCCAGAAUUGCCUUUAAGACUGCAUCGCUUGAAUCCAGGAGAGGUGAGUGGAAUUCCGAGUGUAGAGGUGAAAGUUCGUAGAUAUUCGGAAGAACACCAGUGGCGAAGGCGGCUCACUGGACUGGUAUUGACGCUGAGGUGCGAAAGCGUGGGGAGCAAACAGGG
rnacentral:rRNA from 1 species